CUUAGCUACGGGUAUACCCAUAUAUGCAUAUAAACAGAUGUUCCACCUAUUAUUAAUAGCAGUUGAAACUCUCAAAUUAUGUCCCGCUGUCUUGAAGUAAAAACGGUGAAAAAUACAACACAGAAUGGUCUCUGUGGGAGCAAAUCUGAUCAUAGAUUUGCAAAAUCGGGAUACACUAUAAAAACCAUAAUCACCAGGAUAUUCAGGAAGUUGCAAUAGUUAGACGAGGAAAGGCAAUGCCAAAAAGAGCCAUUGUAGGGCUUCUAUGACUGGAAGAGGAGGAAGUUCUCAAACCGCAGACACAGCUCGAAUUCUAUGAAAGAAAAAGAAGAAACCUGCAUACACAAGGACGUUGA
rnacentral:lncRNA from 1 species